rnacentral:rRNA from 1 species
GAUGAACGCUGGCGGCGUGCUUAACACAUGCAAGUCGAACGGGAAACCUUUUAUUGAAGCUUCGGCAGAUUUAGCUGGUUUCUAGUGGCGGACGGGUGAGUAACGCGUGGGUAACCUGCCCUAUACAGGGGGAUAACAACCAGAAAUGGUUGCUAAUACCGCAUAAGCGCACAGGGCCGCAUGGUCCGGUGUGAAAAACUCCGGUGGUAUAGGAUGGACCCGCGUUGGAUUAGCCAGUUGGCAGGGUAACGGCCUACCAAAGCGACGAUCCAUAGCCGGCCUGAGAGGGUGAACGGCCACAUUGGGACUGAGACACGGCCCAGACUCCUACGGGAGGCAGCAGUGGGGAAUAUUGCACAAUGGGGGAAACCCUGAUGCAGCGACGCCGCGUGAAGGAAGAAGUAUCUCGGUAUGUAAACUUCUAUCAGCAGGGAAGAUAGUGACGGUACCUGACUAAGAAGCCCCGGCUAACUACGUG